rfam:Triticum aestivum genome assembly, contig: Triticum_aestivum_CS42_TGACv1_scaffold_129685_2BL
CUUAUACUCCCUCCGUCCGGAAAUACUUGUCCUAGAAAUGAAUAAAAUGGAUGUAAUGGAUGUAUCUAUACUUGUCCUAGAUACAACCAUUUCGAGGAUAAGUAUUUCCGGACGGAGGGAGUACCAU